CUUAACCUCGGAAUUGCAGUCGAUACUGCUGUGACUCGAGUCCGGUAGAGGAGAAUGGAAUUCUCGGUGUAGCGGUGAAAUGCGCAGAUAUCGAGAGGAACACCAGUAGCGAAGGCGGUUCUCUGGGCCGGCACUGACGCUGAGGAGCGAAAGCGUGGGGAGCAAACAGGAUUAGAUACCCUGGUAGUCCACGCCGUAAACGUUGGAUACUAGGUGUGGCGGUUGUACCAACGACUGCCGUGCCGAAGCUAACGCAUUAAGUAUCCCGCCUGGGGAGUACGGCCGCAAGGCUAAAACUCAAAGGAAUUGACGGGUCCCCGCACAAGCGGCGGAGCAUGCGGCUUAAUUCGAUGCAACCCGAAGAACCUUACCUGGGUUUGACAUCACGGGAAAAACUGUAGAAAUACAGUGUCCGUAAGGGCCC
rnacentral:rRNA from 1 species